AUACAGAGGGUGCAAGCGUUAUUCGGAAUCACUGGGCGUAAAGGACGCGUAGGCGGGUUGGCAAGUCAGAUGUGAAAUCCUACAGCUUAACUGUAGAACUGCAUUUGAAACUGCUAACCUAGAGUAUGGGAGGGGGAGAUGGAAUUAGUGGUGUAGGGGUAAAAUCCGUAGAUAUCACUAGGAAUACCGAAAGCGAAGGCGAUCUCCUGGAACAUAACUGACGCUAAGGCGUGAAAGCGUGGGGAGCAAACAGGAUUAGAAACCCUAGUAGUCC
rnacentral:rRNA from 1 species